rnacentral:rRNA from 1 species
CCGCGANUAGCUNNUUACANUAGCCGUUGUUUCUUGGAUCCUCAAUUUACUUGGAUACCUGUGGUAAUUCUAGAGCUAAUACAUGCGACUAAGGGCCGAACUCACGUGACGCUUGCAUUUAUUAGAUCAAGACUAACCGGCUUCGGCCGUUAACUUGGUGACUCUGAAUAACUCAGCUGAUCGCACGGUCUAGUGCCGGCGACAUAUCUUUCAAGUGUCUACCUUAUCAACUGUCGAUGGUAGUUUAUGUGACUACCAUGGUUGUAACGGGUAACGGAGAAUCAGGGUUUGACUCCGGAGAGGGAGCCUGAGAAACGGCUACCACUUCUAAGGAAGGCAGCAGGCGCGCAAAUUACACAAUCUCAGCACGAGGAUGUAGUGACGAAACAUACCGAGGCGAUGCCCUUUCGGGUGUCGUCAUUGGAAUGAGUCGAAUCUAAAAAAUUCGGCAAGGAUCUAGUGGAGGGCAAGUCUGGUGCCAGCAGCCGCGGUAAUUCCAGCUCCGCAAGUGUAUAUCUAUGCUGUUGCGGUUAAAAAGCUCGUAGUUUGAUUCGCGUACUUAGCACGCAGUGUGGCCUUUCGGCUACUACUGUGAUGCGGUACAUUAUCGUCAGUUUGUCGUUGAUGCUCUUCAUUGGGUGUCAGCGGCGGCUGUCAAGUUUACUUUGAACAAAUUAAAGUGCUCAAUACAGGCGUUUCGCUUGUAUAGUUCUGCAUGGAAUAAUAGAAUAGGACUUACGUUCUAUUGUGUUGGUUUUCAGAACGAAAGUAAUGAUUAAGAGGGACAGACGGGGUCAUUCGUACUGCCACGUUAGAGGUGAAAUUCUUGGAUCGUGGCAAGACGAACUACUGCGAAAGCAUUUGACAAGAAUGUUUUCAUUAAUCAAGAACGAAAGUUAUGGGUUCGA